GAUUUGACUUACAAUCAAAGAAUCUCUAUCUCAGGGAGGCUAUCCAUUUUCUACUUUUCUGGAAGUUUAUAUUAGGCUUCCUAGAAACACAUCUAUUAAAUGUAGAGACUGGAAACAAAGACUGAGUGGGGUUCUGUACCUUUCUGAUAUUCAAAAUUCUAAAACCCAGUAUUAUUCUAUGGAGAAUAAGGUUUAGUCAAGAAUUUUUCUGAAGAAGAGUCCCACUUUUACUCUUAUAGAAGAAUACAAUCUCUGCUCACAGCUUUUACUGUAAAAUUGUUUUUAAGAGCUAACAGUAGGUACAGACCAGCAAAAAGACCAUCAAUAAGAACCUGAAGAUGUGACAUCCUAGAUUCGUGCUUGAUUAAAUGUGAUUUUUCAAGAAACACUGAGUCAAACAUCCUAGAAUUGUGCCAGUCACUGUAAAAAAAUACAGAGGAUGGCACUGACAUAGUGAAAGAUAAUCUCCAUUUG
rnacentral:lncRNA from 1 species